rnacentral:rRNA from 1 species
GAUGAACGCUGGCGGCGUGCCUAAUACAUGCAAGUCGAGCGAACAGACGAGGAGCUUGCUCCUCUGACGUUAGCGGCGGACGGGUGAGUAACACGUGGAUAACCUACCUAUAAGACUGGGAUAACUUCGGGAAACCGGAGCUAAUACCGGAUAAUAUAUUGAACCGCAUGGUUCAAUAGUGAAAGACGGUUUUGCUGUCACUUAUAGAUGGAUCCGCGCCGCAUUAGCUAGUUGGUAAGGUAACGGCUUACCAAGGCAACGAUGCGUAGCCGACCUGAGAGGGUGAUCGGCCACACUGGAACUGGAACACGGUCCAGACUCCUACGGGAGGCAGCAGUAGGGAAUCUUCCGCAGUGGGCGAAAGCCUGACAGAGCAACGCCGCGUGAGUGAUGAAGGUCUUCGGAUCGUAAAACUCUGUUAUUAGGGAAGAACAAAUUUGUAAGUAACUAUGCACGUCUUGACGGUACCUAAUCAGAAAGCCACGGCUAACUACGUG